rnacentral:rRNA from 1 species
GUGAGGAAUAUUGCGCAAUGGAGGCAACUCUGACGCAGCCAUGCCGCGUGCAGGAAGAAGGCGCUACGCGUUGUAAACUGCUUUUAACCGGGAAGAAACCCCAGGACGUGUCCUGGGUUGACGGUACCGGAGGAAUAAGCACCGGCUAACUUCGUGCCAGCAGCCGCGGUAAUACGAAGGGUGCAAGCGUUAUCCGGAUUCAUUGGGUUUAAAGGGUGCGUAGGCGGAGCGUUAAGUCAGUGGUGAAAUCCUGCAGCUUAACUGUAGACUUGCCAUUGAUACUGGCGCUCUUGAGUGCGCUUGAAGUGGGCGGAAUGUGCCUUGUAGCGGUGAAAUGCUUAGAUAUGGCACAGAACACCAAUUGCGAAGGCAGCUCACUAAGGCGAUACUGACGCUGAGGCACGAAAGCGUGGGGAUCGAACAGGAUUAGAUACCCGUGUAGUCC